CUUACUUUUCCUGCGGUCCUGCAUUCAUGUAUUGGCGGGAUAAAUUUAUGGUGGACGUGACCGGCGGCAGUACCGGCGAGCUGCGUCUGUGAUCUUCAAGGUACAGGCUAUUCACACUAAAGGGCACUGGAUAAGAACAUGGAUGACAGUCAGGCCAUCGCCGCACCUACUACAAGUAGGAGGUUCCCCGCCAGUUAAGAGGUAGGAGUGAGUACUGAUGGGCAAGAACGGGAGUACGCUGGGUGAUCCCCGUCACAGUUAGCACAAUGGGUGGUGGAAGUGCAAGUGUCAGAUGAGUGCUCGUUUGAUGCACAUUUUGCACAAGUAGUGCGCCCUCGGCAGUUUUGUGAACCGUGCCCGAACCGCUGACACUUGAAGCAUCGGCGUGGGUUAGGAAUGUAUGGCCUUACACGGAGUUUGCAGUAUCCUGUUUCUAUUGAGUCUGGUAAGUUGCUAGUUCCAAAAGUUAAGAUUAUGUGUUUUGUGGGGAUUUCCUUGCCGUCCCGCCUAAUCGUUAUUCUCUGGACCUU